AGAGCAGUUUGUGGGGGGUGGUAAUCAGGGGCCGGUUAUUGUGCGCCAGCCUCUGAGCUGAACUCCCUACUAUCUCCCGGAUUCUUCACGUCAACCUUGGGAAGUCUAGGUGCCCUGGGAGUUCCGUUUUACAACGAGCAGCGAGGCUCGGGGACUGUGGCUGGCCUGAUUCCAAUCUCGCAGGGAGCAACAUGUGUAAUGAGGCUUGAUUCCGGGUUUGUCUGGCUCCAGGGCCUGGGCCUCAGCCCCGAAGCAUGCUGCCACCUCAGGGUUCUGGAACAGUAACGUGCCGUGCACCGUGUGACACUGUGUUCCCAUCAUGCAGGUACCAGGAUUUCCAUGCGUUCGACCUCCCAGGAGCCACUCGAGUCCUUGAAUGGGUUGGUGACAAAGGAGUUUUUGUUGCUGGCUAUGAAAACCUGAAAAGAAAUGAAAUUCUUCAUCUGCUGUUACCUCUCAGACUUUCUGUAAAAGAAAACCAGGGCUUAUUGCCUGAAAGAGAUUUCAAGGUACGUCAUGGAGGAUUUUCAGACAGAUCUGUCUUUGAUCUGAAGCACGUGCCAGACACCAGGUUGCUGGUGACCAGUGGCCUUCCGGGUUGUUACCUGCAGGUGUGGCAGGUCACAGAGGACAGUGAUGUCAUUGAAGCUGUCAGCACCAUUGCCGUGCAUGAGAAAGAGGGGAGUCUCUGGCCCAGGGUCGCCAUCUUCUCGUCAGUGGCACCUGGAGUCCUCCAUGGGGUGCGGCUCAGCGAUCUGAAGGUUGUGGAUCUGGAGACCCAGAAGACCACGUACACCUCAGGUGUCAGUGACAGUGAGGAGCUAAGUAGCCUGCAGGUCCUGGAUGCAGACACCUUUGCCUUCUGCUGCACCUCAGGCCGCCUGGGGCUCGUUGACACCCGCCAGGAGUGGGCACCGUCAGAGAGUGUCAGCCCUAACCCUGGGUCUGGUGGAGGGAGGUGGUGUGCAGAAGUCAGGGCCAAGGGCCAAGGCCCUGGACCCAGUGUUGCCAGCCUUUGCUCAGACGGGCGGCUCCGCCUUCUUGACCCUCGGGAUCUCUGCCAUCCUGUGAACUCAGUCCAGUGCCCAGUGUCCUCACCCAGCCCUGACCCAGAACUGCUGCGAGUGACUUGGGCUCCAUGCCUGGACAACUGCUUGGCCAUUUCAGGUUUUGAUGGGACAGUCCUGGUCUAUGAUGUCACAUCUUGGGAUGGAUUAGAGAGCCAAGUAGAACCUCUCUUCACUCACAGAGGUCACAUCUUCCUAGAGGGCAAUGGGAUAGGCACUGCUCCACUGGUCACCACCCACACCUGGCACCCUCGCAAACCAAGGACUUUGUUAUCAGCAGCGAGUGAUGCUUCUGUGCACGUGUGGGACUGGGUGGACCUCCGUGCCUCCUGCUGACUCCAGCGUCUUCCUGCCAGGCCUCUCGGAAGAGGAGCUGCUGUGUGUACAACAAGGCCUAGAAUCUGCACUCAACCUUAUCUCCUGGGACCGGUAGUCUCUCACCAUCAGGAGAGGUGCCACAGAGUCCUGUAAGUAGUUUACAAAACACCAGGUCUUUUUUUCCCCUUGGAGGUACCUAUCAAGGAUCCCACAGACUCAUGUGGUCAGUUCAUGUGCCACAUCCUCCAAGUGGGAAGGAACAUCCCCUCUGCCCCACCUUCCGCACUCAGUGGGGGCUUUCAUGCCCUCCCCACAGAAAGGUCCCUCCUUCCUCCCCACACUGCGGCUGCUCACUGCUCUUGUGAAGAGCUGGAGUUCUACUCUGGGGCAGCGGUUCAGCUGUUCUUUCGGUUCUGGCUGUGAAUGUUUCACCAUUGCCUGGAACAGACACAUGGAUUCUGUCUGUGCUCGCUUCAGAGGGAUGUUUAGGGAACCCAGUACUGAUUCUGAGGGUUCCCUCUCUGAGAGCACCUCUUUCCCCUGUUCAUGACUAGAAGUGGUUCAGAUUCUGUGGGCACUAAAAGUUAAUCAUCCCAAGACACAAAGAAGCAAAGGGGGAAGUCAGGCAUAUGCAGAUCACUGCAGGGGCAGUAAGGAGUGUGGAAGGCCUCAGGGACAAGGUCUGGAACCCAGGCCCACCAGCUCUCUUGGGACUGCUCCUGUCAACCCCUAGGCAAAACGCAGAGAUCUAACCAACAAUACAGCUACUUUGCAAUAGGAUGCAAAGGUUCAAUAAUGUCAGUAAAGGCCAGUGAAGCCCCAUGAUUCAGGCUGGCUGCUGCUGGGGGACAGCAGUUUUCCAAAAAGAAAACAGUUUUGUGUGUUGCUCCUUGAUCAGAGUGGUGCUCAGCCAUUUUAAGCAGUUUUCACUUAACAGGGACAACACUCAGAAAAACCAAAGUUUGCGUUCUCUGAAGAGUCAGUCUGAAGUUGGGAGGAAAGUUGCAGGCUCUGGGAAUAAGCAAAUUCUACUUUGAUCUAACAGCAUAGUACUACACAUCCCCCAAACAACACAGGAGGCUCUGUCUCUCCUAUUCCCUUAUUUUAACUACUCAGAACUAGGUUCUCAUAUCUCACCUGCAGCUGCUGUCUUACAGGGUUUUUUUUUCCCCCUUUAUUGGUUCUAAAGAGAGAAGAAGGGAGGGGGGAGAGAGAAAACAUCGA